rnacentral:rRNA from 1 species
GACGAACGCUGGCGGCGUGCCUAAUACAUGCAAGUCGAGCGAGUCUGCCUUGAAGAUCGGAGUGCUUGCACUCUGUGAAACAAGAUACAGGCUAGCGGCGGACGGGUGAGUAACACGUGGGUAACCUGCCCAAGAGAUCGGGAUAACACCUGGAAACAGAUGCUAAUACCGGAUAACAACAGAUGAUGACUAUCAACUGUUUAAAAGAUGGUUCUGCUAUCACUCUUGGAUGGACCUGCGGUGCAUUAGCUAGUUGGUAGGGUAACGGCCUACCAAGGCGAUGAUGCAUAGCCGAGUUGAGAGACUGAUCGGCCACAUUGGAGCUGAGACACGGCCCAAACUCCUACGGGAGCCAGCAGUAGGGAAUCUUCCACCAUGGACGCAAGUCUGAUGGAGCAACGCCGCGUGAGUGAAGAAGGGUUUCGGCUCGUAAAGCUCUGUUGUUGGUGAAGAAGGACAGGGGUAGUAACUGACCUUUGUUUGACGGUAAUCAAUUAGAAAGUCACGGCUAACUAAGUG